rnacentral:rRNA from 1 species
UACGGGGGGGGGCAAGCGUUGUUCGGAAUUACUGGGCGUAAAGGGCGCGUAGGCGGCGUGACAAGUCACUUGUGAAAUCUCCGGGCUUAACUCGGAACGGUCAAGUGAUACUGUCGUGCUAGAGUACAGAAGGGGCAACUGGAAUUCUCGGUGUAGCGGUGAAAUGCGUAGAUAUCGAGAGGAACACCUGCGGCGAAGGCGGGUUGCUGGGCUGAUACUGACGCUGAGGCGCGAAAGCCAGGGGAGCGAACGGG